GUUUUUCGUAAAUUGGCCAUUGGUUCUUGUAGUUGAAUAACAACGGUGGUUUUUCAAGUCACUGGUCCUGGUUAAACUCCUGGCAGGAACU
rnacentral:tRNA from 1 species